GGCUCAGGACGAACGCUGGCGGCGUGCCUAACACAUGCAUGUCGAACGGAACUGUUUUGAAAGAUUUCUUCGGAAUGAAUUUGAUUUAGUUUAGUGGCGGACGGGUGAGUAACGCGUGAGUAACCUGCCUUCAAGAGGGGGAUAACAUUCUGAAAAGAAUGCUAAUACCGCAUGACAUAUCGGAACCACAUGGUUCUGAUAUCAAAGAUUUUAUCGCUUGAAGAUGGACUCGCGUCCGAUUAGUUAGUUGGUGAGGUAACGGCUCACCAAGACCGCGAUCGGUAGCCGGACUGAGAGGUUGAACGGCCACAUUGGGACUGAGACACGGCCCAGACUCCUACGGGAGGCAGCAGUGGGGGAUAUUGCGCAAUGGGGGCAACCCUGACGCAGCAACGCCGCGUGAAGGAUGAAGGUUUUCGGAUUGUAAACUUCUUUUAUUAAGGACGAAAAAUGACGGUACUUAAUGAAUAAGCUCCGGCUAACUACGUGCCAGCAGCCGCGGUAAUACGUAGGGAGCAAGCGUUGUCCGGAUUUACUGGGUGUAAAGGGUGCGUAGGCGGCUUUGCAAGUCAGAUGUGAAAUCUAUGGGCUCAACCCAUAAACUGCAUUUGAAACUGUAGAGCUUGAGUGAAGUAGAGGCAGGCGGAAUUCCACGUGUAGCGGUGAAAUGCGUAGAGAUGGGGAGGAACACCAGUGGCGAAGGCGGCCUGCUGGGCUUUAACUGACGCUGAGGCACGAAAGCGUGGGUAGCAAACAGGAUUAGAUACCCUGGUAGUCCACGCUGUAAACGAUGAUUACUAGGUGUGGGGGGUCUGACCCCUUCCGUGCCGGAGUUACACAAUAAGUAAUCCACCUGGGGAGUACGGCC
rnacentral:rRNA from 1 species